AAUCUACCCAGGCUCUACGGAAUAACUCAGGGAAACUUGUGCUAAUACCGCUAUACGAUCCGAUAGGAGAAAGAUUUAUCGGAGUUGGAUGAGCCCGCGUUGGAUUAGCUAGUUGGUGGGGUAAAGGCCUACCAAGGCGACGAUCCAUAGCUGGUCUGAGAGGAUGAUCAGCCACACUGGGACUGAGACACGGCCCAGACUCCUACGGGAGGCAGCAGUGGGGAAUAUUGGACAAUGGGCGCAAGCCUGAUCCAGCCAUGCCGCGUGAGUGAUGAAGGCCCUAGGGUUGUAAAGCUCUUU
rnacentral:rRNA from 1 species